UACGGGGGGGGGCAAGCGUUGUUCGGAAUUACUGGGCGUAAAGGGCGCGUAGGCGGCCAACUAAGUCAGACGUGAAAUCCCUCGGCUCAACCGGGGAACUGCGUCUGAUACUGGAUGGCUUGAAUUCGGGAGAGGGAUGCGGAAUUCCAGGUGUAGCGGUGAAAUGCGCAGAUAUCGGGAGGAACACCCGUAGCGAAGGCGGCACUCUGGGCCGUGACUGACGCUGAGGAGCGAAAGCGUGGGGAGCAAACAGG
rnacentral:rRNA from 1 species